AGCUGCGUGGUGAAUACAUAGCGAACUAUUCUUUCGCCUUUUACUAAAGAAUACCGUGUGUUUGCUACUGUUAAGCAGCAUAUCUUAAUUUUUUUAGGAUCCUUAAGCUUUUGUUUUGGGU
rnacentral:snRNA from 1 species